UAUGGCGGUGCGCUCGAUCGAUUCCCUGCUUCGAAUCGACUUUA
rnacentral:misc_RNA from 1 species